rnacentral:rRNA from 1 species
CACGUAGGGUGCGAGCGUUGUCCGGAAUUAUUGGGCGUAAAGAGCUCGUAGGCGGUGUGUCGCGUCGGCCGUGAAAACCUGCAGCUUAACUGUGGGCUUGCGGUCGAUACGGGCAUCACUGGAGUUCGGCAGGGGAGACUGGAAUUCCUGGUGUAGCGGUGAAAUGCGCAGAUAUCAGGAGGAACACCGGUGGCGAAGGCGGGUCUCUGGGCCGAUACUGACGCUGAGACGCGAAAAGCGUGGGGAGCGAACAGG